AGAAGGUCAAGUUUAACAGAGGUGAGAUAAAGGAGAGGAUUGUGGAUAUCUACGUCAGUGCAGACACCCUGAGAGACGGUGAGACCAGCACCACGAGAGAAGAGACAGCAGACACUGCUCCUAAUAAUGGACCAGGAGACCAGCACUCAGUACAUGUUCAGUGGUGGAAGAGACCCUCUGGAGUUGCUGCAGUGUGUCUGGGGCUGCUGUGUGUUCUCCUACUGGCUGGGAUCAUAGGCCUGUCUGUCCAAUACAGCAACGUCUCAAAGAACUCAUCUGCAGAGAGAGACCAGCUACAGACCAGUUACAAUAAUCUGACUAAAGAGAGAUACCAGCUACAGACCAGUUACAAUAACCUGACUAAAGAGAGAUACCAGCUGGAGACCAAAUACAAUAACCUGACUAAAGAAAAAGACCAGCUACAGA